ACUGCUCAGUAACACGUGGACAACCUGCCCUUAGGUUGGGUAUAAACCCGGGAAACUGGGUAUAAUACCCGAUAGGUCUCGAUUGCUGGAAUGCAUCGAGAUUUAAAGCUCCGGCGCCUAAGGAUGGGUCUGCGGCCUAUCAGGUAGUAGUGGGUGUAGCGUACCCACUAGCCUACGACGGGUACGGGUUGUGAGAGCAAGAGCCCGGAGAUGGAUUCUGAGACACGAAUCCAGGCCCUACGGGGUGCAGCAGGCGCGAAAACUUUACAAUGCUGGCAACAGCGAUAAGGGAACCUCGAGUGCCAGGUUACAAAUCUGGCUGUCGAGAUGCCUAAAAAGCAUUUCAUAGCAAGGGCCGGGCAAGACCGGUGCCAGCCGCCGCGGUAACACCGGCGGCUCGAGUGGUAACCGUUAUUAUUGGGUCUAAAGGGUCUGUAGCCGGCCGGAUAAGUCUCUUGAGAAAUCUGGCAGCUUAACUGUCAGGCUUUCAGGAGAUACUGUCUGGCUCGAGGCCGGGAGAGGUGAGAGGUACUUCAGGGGUAGGGGUGAAAUCUUGUAAUCCUUGAAGGACCACCAGUGGCGAAGGCGUCUCACCAGAACGGACCUGACGGCAAGGGACGAAAGCUAGGGGCACGAACCGGAUUAGAUACCCGGGUAGUCCUAGCCGUAAACGAUACCCGCUAGGUGUCGGCCACGGUGCGACCGUUGUCGGUGCCGUAGGGAAGCCGUGAAGCGAGCCACCUGGGAAGUACGGCCGCAAGGCUGAAACUUAAAGGAAUUGGCGGGGGAGCAC
rnacentral:rRNA from 1 species